AGUGAACGCUGGCGGUAGGCCUAACACAUGCAAGUCGAACGGCAGCACAGUAAGAGCUUGCUCUUACGGGUGGCGAGUGGCGGACGGGUGAGGAAUACAUCGGAAUCUACUUUUUCGUGGGGGAUAACGUAGGGAAACUUACGCUAAUACCGCAUACGACCUACGAGUGAAAGCAGGGGAUCUUCGGACCUUGCGCGAUUGAAUGAGCCGAUGUCGGAUUAGCUAGUUGGCGGGGUAAAGGCCCACCAAGGCGACGAUCCGUAGCUGGUCUGAGAGGAUGAUCAGCCACACUGGAACUGAGACACGGUCCAGACUCCUACGGGAGGCAGCAGUGGGGAAUAUUGGACAAUGGGCGCAAGCCCGAUCCAGCCAUACCGCGUGGGUGAAGAAGGCCUUCGGGUUGUAAAGCCCUUUUGUUGGGAAAGAAAAGCAGCAGGUUAAUACCCCGCUGUUCUGACGGUACCCAAAGAAUAAGCACCGGCUAACUUCGUG
rnacentral:rRNA from 1 species